rnacentral:rRNA from 1 species
CCUACGGGCGGCUGCAGUGGGGAAUAUUGGACAAUGGGGGGAACCCUGAUCCAGCCAUGCCGCGUGUGUGAAGAAGGCCCUCGGGUUGUAAAGCACUUUCAGUGAGGAAGAACACCUGGUGGUUAAUACCCAUCAGGAAAGACAUCACUCACAGAAGAAGCACCGGCUAACUCCGUGCCAGCAGCCGCGGUAAUACGGAGGGUGCGAGCGUUAAUCGGAAUUACUGGGCGUAAAGCGCGCGUAGGUGGCUUGAUAAGCCGGUUGUGAAAGCCCCGGGCUCAACCUGGGAACGGCAUCCGGGACUGUCAAGCUAGAGUGCAGGAGAGGAAGGUAGAAUUCCCGGUGUAGCGGUGAAAUGCGUAGAGAUCGGGAGGAAUACCAGUGGCGAAGGCGGCCUUCUGGACUGACACUGACACUGAGGUGCGAAAGCGUGGGUAGCAAACAGGAUUAGAUACCCUUGUAGUC